GACGAACGCUGGCGGCGUGCUUAACACAUGCAAGUCGAACGGACAGGCCCUGCUUUUGUUGGGUGCUCGAGUGGCGAACGGGUGAGUAACACGUGAGUAACCUGCCCUUGACUUUGGGAUAACUUCAGGAAACUGGGGCUAAUACCGGAUAGGAGCUCCUGCUGCAUGGUGGGGGUUGGUAAGUUUCGGCGGUUGGGGAUGGAAUCGCGGCUUAUCCGCUUGAUGGUGGAGUAGUGGCUUACCAAGUCUUUGACGGGUAGCCGGCCUGAGAGGGGGAACGGGCACAAGGGGACUGAGAGAGGGAGCAGACUGCUACGGGAGGCAGCAGGCGGGAGUAUGGCACAACAGGCGGAAGCCUGAUGCAGAGACGUCGGGAGCGGGAUGCUGUGUUUCUGGUGGAAAACCGCUGUCGAAUGUGACGAAGCGGGAGUGACGGUAACGGGUAAAGAAGCACCGGCUAACUACGUG
rnacentral:rRNA from 1 species